rnacentral:rRNA from 1 species
UACGUAGGGUGCGAGCGUUGUCCGGAAUUAUUGGGCGUAAAGGGCUCGUAGGCGGUUUGUCGCGUCGGGAGUGAAAACCUUGGGCUUAACUCAGGGCUUGCUUUCGAUACGGGCAGACUAGAGGUAUGCAGGGGAGAACGGAAUUCCUGGUGUAGCGGUGAAAUGCGCAGAUAUCAGGAGGAAUACCGAUGGCGAAGGCAGGUCUCUGGGCUGAUACUGACGCUCAUGCACGAAAGCGUGGGGAGCAAACAGG